rnacentral:rRNA from 1 species
UACGAAGGGAGCUAGCGUUGUUCGGAAUCACUGGGCGUAAAGAGCGUGUAGGCGGCUUGGUAGGUCUGCUGUGAAAACUCGGGGCUCAACCCCGAGACGUCGGUGGAAACCACCUUGCUAGAGUCCGGAAGAGGAGAGUGGAAUUCCUGGUGUAGCGCUGAAAUGCGCAGAGAUCAGGAGGAACACCCGUAGCGAAGGCGGCACUCUGGGCCGAUACUGACACUGAGGAGCGAAAGCGUGGGGAGCGAACAGG